rnacentral:rRNA from 1 species
CGCGCAGACGGUUAUUUAAGCAGGAUGUGAAAUCCCCGAGCUCAACUUGGGAACUGCGUACUGAACUGGGUAACUAGAGUGUGUCGGAGGGGGUAGAAUUCCACGUGUAGCAGUGAAAUGCGUAGAGAUGUGGAGGAAUACCGAUGGCGAAGGCAGCCCCCUGGGAUAACACUGACGUUCAUGCUCGAAAGCGUGGUAUCAAACA